rnacentral:lncRNA from 1 species
AACACCAAAUGCUCCUUGUCUGCACGAGUUGAAACUGCAAACGACACCAAACGCUCCUUGCCUGCACGAGCUGAAACUGCAACACGGCACCAAAAGCUCCUUGUCUGCACGAGUUGAAACUGCAAACGACACCAACACUCCUUGCCUGCACGAGCCUAAACUGCAAACGGCACAAAAAGAAAGUACCAAAAAAAAAUGUAUUUGAACUACGUUACGACUUGAUCUCUUCUUUGGA